CUCUCUCGCUCUCUCUCCCCCCCUUUGUUUUCCAUCAAUUUCCCCAUCGCUUAACCCAAGAACACCGAGAAAAUUAUGGAAGCCAUCAUUUCUCAUCUCGACCAUAUAGUCCCCAAACUGGAUCUGGAUUGCUUGGUUGCUUGAAGAUAAAAAGGCAAGUUUUCUUUGUGAUGAAUUUUGAUUUAUGCUUCUUUACUAUUAUUUUCUCGAGAUCUUGAUGGUUAAACUCAAUUCUUUGUUGUUUAGGAUUGGAGAUCCGCCUCUUCUUCAUCUCUUCUCCUGGCUCCGUACUGCUCCUAUUGUGACUCCACCUCAGAAGCUCGGGCGCUUCCUCAGCAUCGUCAAGCUAGUCAAAUCCAAGUAUCCAGCCAAGUGACACCCACUGGCCCACCCACUUGGUCAUCGGGCUGUCGGACCCACAUGUUCCAGCACGCAAGCAAGCAAUUUCUCUCUUCUCGUUGAUUUCACUCGAUUUAUCUUAGAAGAUUUGAAAAGUUAUGGACUCCCUUGCUUGUCAUCUGAACCGUGCAGUUUCUACUAGAUCCGAGUUGCUUGGUCGUGUUUAAGAUAAAUAAAAAGUUAAGUUUUUUUGUCAUGAAUUUUUAUUUAUGCUUCUUUCUUGUCAUUUUACUGAGAUAUUAAUGGUUAAAAUAAACUCUUUCUUGUUUAGGAUUGGAGAUCUGCCGCUCCUCUGUCUCCUCCCUGGCUUCCUGCUGCUCCUAUAUUGUGUCGUACUCGUACAUGGCAGACUCUCACCUUAAAGGCUCGGGUGGGUCCUCGGCAUCAUCAAGAUAGUCCAACCCAACCAGAGUGACACCCAUUGGUCAUCCACAAGUCUGCUCCUCCCUGUCAAGCACGCAGGCAAGGGAUUUCUCUCUUCCCAUUGAUUUCCCUCGAUUUAAUUACCUUAGUAGUUAGUACGUCCAAAAACAAAAUCCCUUCUUCUCAUCUCAUCUGUGCAGCCUCUACUAGAUUCAAGUUGCUCGGUUGUUUUUGAAGAUAAAAAAGUUAAGUUUUUUUUUUGUUAGGAUUUUGACUUAUGCUCCUGUCUUGUCAUUUUCCCAAGAUUCAGAUGUUAAGGCCUUUUUUAGUUGCCAAAUUCAAAAUUAUAAAAUUAUCACAUGAAAUGAGAAUCUUACAUGCAUGAAGUAUUAAAUCUAGACGAAAUAAAAAAACUAAUUGCAUAGUUUGCUUGUAAAUUGCAAGAAGAAUCUAAUGAGC